rnacentral:lncRNA from 1 species
GAUACGCCACUUCCCCAACCCUCUUCAAAAUCUGAUACGGACCCACAACCUCGGAGUAAGCUUUUUAGACUUUAAAGCUCUACCCACACCCGUCGUCGGAGUAACUCUCAAGAACACAUGAUCUCCCUCUUGGAAUUCAAGUGCUUUCUCCUGUUAUCAUGAUAACUCUUCUGACGACUCUGGGAAAUCUUCAUUUUCUCCUGAAUCAUCUUAACCCUUUCAGUUGUCUGCUGCACAAUCUCAGGUCCG